CAGUGUGUCCCUCCAGACCCCUCCCAGACCCUGCCCCUGUGUGUGGCCAGGGACCCGGCAUCACUUUGGCUGACCCUGGCCCAGCCAGCUCUGCAAGAUCCCAGCACCAUUUGCGUGGCCGGCAGGUGCCCUGGCAGAGAGCGGGCCUCCGUGGGCAGGAUCAGCGCUGCUCCCCUCUGGGCUACAUUUCUCACAGCCUCCAACUCCCCUGGGAGCCAAGGCUUUCUCCUUUCUUGCAUAAUCUGAUUUUUGUCCCUUUAGAUGAAAAUUCUGUUCAUCAGGAUGACCCCACUUUCUACCUCAAAGCUUCUGCCAAAGAAAACACCCUAACAAACAGACGGAAAGGAUGGGGUUCAGGUCCUGAACAAAUCUCAGGUCAGCGGGGCGGCCGUCCUGGCCGUGGGCAUCUGGACCCAGGAUGUCCCACCUCAGCCUCCUGGCCUCCAGCACCUUCGCUGCCUCUGCCUGCAUCCGCAUCUGGACGGGUGCUCUCGUCAUGGUGACCAGCUUCCUGGGCUUCAGCACCAUCUCCCAGGAGCGGAAUGGCUGCCUCUGCGUGGUCACUAAGGAAGCUGGAGGACUCCACAGCUGCUUCAGAAAACAGACUGUCCCCAGGGAACACUUCAGAGAUCUUGGGACCAGAUAGGAUGUACCUGGACCCCUGGAAUUCCCUCUCCAGCCUCCAGGUCACGUGGGGAUGUGAGCUGAAGCAGUACGGGCUUCCCUCAGCCUUCCUGUGUCCAGAUGAGCAGCUUCCUGCUGCAGAGCUGCCCUCCCCGGCAGGUACAAAGCACAAGGCUGCGCAUGCUUCUGUUCCUGUUCUGUUCCUGGCUCCUCGAGAGGUAUGCUUUGUAAGAAAGUGCACACUCACAUCUUCAUCAGGGACAUUGACCAAGCACGCCUCUAGGUCCAGCACCACACCAGGCACUGCGGAGGAACCAGAGGAAACCCAAGGUGCGGUCCCCAGAAGCUCACAGUCAUUCCGUGGGGGACAGUGGUAACACCCGAAACAGAAGCAACUGAUCCAGGGCAGUGGGGAAAGUUGCAUCAUUCAUCUAGUGAAGACCUACACUGGAAUCGAGGAGUCAUGCAGCAGGCAGGGGGAAGGCACAGAGGAGAGAAGGGGCAAAGCAGAAAAUGCUGCUGUCAGGAGACAGCGGAUGACACACUGCAGGCAUCCGAUGGCAGGGAGUAGCCAUCACUGCCACCUGGCAUGGCUUAGCAGAGCCAUGACUGAGCUGAGCUGGGUAUUGAAGGACAGGAAGACACCGGCCUUCUGGGCAGCGGGGACAGGGAGAGCAAAGGCCUGAAGGCUGGAUGCCUGGCCUGCAUGGAGGGAGCUUCCUACAGUACGCGUGUGCCGCGGAAGCUCCGAGAUGAGUGUGGUGCACGGAGGGAGCCAGGACAUGCUGGGUGAAUGCAGGGUAGCGGGGCAAAGGUGGAUUUGUUGGCGUCUGUGGCAUUAUAAGGCUAAAGCCCACAGCCCAGCCCACUGCUCAGGAGCCCUAGCCAGCCUUAGGGCGGGAUCCAGAUGAGUGAGACUCUUGGCCUGCUUCCUGGGGCUGUCAGAGCAGGAGGCGUGACUCAAGGCCUCCCCCGCUCAGGUGAGUCACAUACCUGCAGCUCUCCCACUGUUGAAGCUGCUGCCUGGAGCCAGCGCCUGGGGCCACCCAGCCUCAAUCCCUCAAAGCCCCAGGCAGGCCCCUCAAUCCCCUCCAAGGUACCUUUACACGCUGGAGCCCCUCACUCGGGAGGCUGUCCCCCCACCCCUCACCCCUGCCUAGCACUCAGCGCCCCGACUCAUCAAACCUCCAGCAGGUCGGUAGCCUGUGUGAUGCCUCUGACCUGGCCUUCACAGCACUUAGCCUGCCAUUAAACUGAGC
ensembl:lincRNA